CCUACGGGUGGCUGCAGUGGGGAAUAUUGGACAAUGGGCGAAAGCCUGAUCCAGCCAUGCCGCGUGUGUGAAGAAGGCCUUCGGGUUGUAAAGCACUUUCAGUGGGGAAGAAAGCCUUGGGGCUAAUACCCUCGAGGAAGUACAUCACCCACAGAAGAAGCACCGGCUAACUCCGUGCCAGCAGCCGCGGUAAUACGGAGGGUGCGAGCGUUAAUCGGAAUUACUGGGCGUAAAGCGCGCGUAGGCGGUCUGAUAAGCCGGUUGUGAAAGCCCCGGGCUCAACCUGGGAACGGCAUCCGGAACUGUCAGGCUAGAGUGCAGGAGAGGAAGGUAGAAUUCCCGGUGUAGCGGUGAAAUGCGUAGAGAUCGGGAGGAAUACCAGUGGCGAAGGCGGCCUUCUGGACUGACACUGACGCUGAGGUGCGAAAGCGUGGGUAGCAAACAGGAUUAGAUACCCCAGUAGUC
rnacentral:rRNA from 1 species